CCCAAUACCCCAAAUCCUCCACCUUCCUCUCUCUUCUUUCUGGCUUUCACAACGCUUCGUCUACGCUCUCUCAUGCCGUGACAUGGAGAGAGCUCUUCCUCUACUGUCGAAAGAAAGAGAAGGGUUUUUUUGAGAAAAAAGAAAUAUUCGGGGGCUUCUCGAGAUAGAAAGAGAAGGGUUUCUAGUAUGAUUCGCAAGGCAUUGAGAGAAAUUUGUUUCAAAGGAGGAAAUCAGAAGAUAUGAUCUCAUACACAUAGACAAGCAUUGGGAUUAGCAACAUCAUUUAGAAGGUGGAAAAGCAGGAGGAUGGAUGGAUUCUAGCAAUCUCUUUUUAGUACGGACCAGAGAAAGAAAUAGGCCCCACAAGGAAUACAUAUUCCGCCGGAACGAUCAUCGUUGAUGCCGCCACUUUACAAGCUUCUGCCCAUGCAGCUUGGAAUGCCUGCAUAGCACCGGAACACCAUGUCAACUAGCUGUAUGGUAAGUAACAAUAACAGUAACUGUACUCUGAGGAUCACGGUUAGUGUUGGUUUGUGCAUAACUGUAAGCAAUUAUUAUUAUUCAUUUUUCAGGGGAAAAAAAAAACACUUUAAGUAUUGAAUGUAGCUAUGAUGUGCUCUUGGAAUUCAUGUGAAAGAUGGAGUCAUUAUCUGUUGAUUAUUAAUUGAGUCUACCUUAAAUUGCAUGUA